rnacentral:rRNA from 1 species
GACGAACGCUGGCGGCGUGCUUAACACAUGCAAGUCGAACGGAAAGGCCUCUUUCGGGGGGUACUCGAGUGGCGAACGGGUGAGUAACACGUGAGUAACCUGCCCUUGACUUUGGGAUAACUUCAGGAAACUGGGGCUAAUACCGGAUAGGAGCUCCUGCUGCAUGGUGGGGGUUGGAAAGUUUCGGCGGUUGGGGAUGGACUCGCGGCUUAUCAGCUUGUUGGUGGGGUAGUGGCUUACCAAGGCUUUGACGGGUAGCCGGCCUGAGAGGGUGACCGGCCACAUUGGGACUGAGAUACGGCCCAGACUCCUACGGGAGGCAGCAGUGGGGUAUAUUGCACAAUGGGUGGAAGCCUGAUGCAGCAACGCCGUGUGCGGGAUGACGGCCUUCGGGUUGUAAACCGCUUUCGCUCAUGACGAAGCUUUGUGUGACGGUAGUGGGUAAAGAAGCACCGGCUAACUACGU